GAUGGUUUGGCAACCUUACCCAAAAUUCAUUCCCUCCGCUUGCUUCCCCCUUCUGCCUAUUAAUCUUUUCCUCCACUCUCUUUCCUUCCUCUGUCUCUAGCCGCUGAUACGUAGCCCACAGACACAAACGCACAUAUAAAAAAGCACAAUCACAUUGUUUACUGGCAGGCCAAUGAUUAAUUAACACAUACACCAAUGUAUGGUGGCUCCUCUAAGCUCGGCGGCCGAGGUGGCGGCCGGGGAGGCGGUGCCGUAGGCACCAAGCGCCUCUCUUCGUUCCCUCCGCCUCCACCCCACCGGCCUUCUACAGCCACGAACCAUCGCCUCUCCAUCGGAGGCAAUUCCAAUCAUCGCAAUCGCUCCGGUCCCAGCGCUUCCAUGUCGGCAACAACAGCUGCCGUUGAAGAGACCUUCUCCCUUAUCCCUGGUAAUAACCCACCUGCCUUUUCAAUGAUUAUAAGACUGGCGCCGGACUUGGUGGACGAGAUCAGGAGGGCUGAAGCGCAGGGUGGCACUGCCAGGAUUAAGUUUGAUUCAAUGGGCAGUAAUACCAAUGGAAACGUUAUUGAUGUGGGUGGUAAGGAAUUCAGAUUUACAUGGUCGAGGGAAUUUGGUGACCUCUGUGACAUUUAUGAAGAACGACAAAGUGGUGAAGAUGGAAAUGGUUUGCUUGUUGAAUCUGGUUGUGCCUGGCGUAAGGUGAAUGUCCAACGUAUCUUGGAUGAAUCAACCACGAACCAUGUUAAGAUGCGGUCAGAGGAAGCUGAUCGCAAACAUAAAUCACGCAAAGCUAUUGUGUUAGAUCAUGGGAACCCAUCCAUGAAGAGUCAAAUAAAGCAAUUGGCAGCUGCUGAGUCUAAUCCAUGGAGGAUGCCCUUUAAAAAGAAAGAGCCUCCAUUUAAAAAACGGAAAGUUGAAUCAGUAGUCCCCAAAUCUACUUUUAAACCUGGAGUUUCUUCAACCGCUACUGUAAAGGGUAGACGCUCAUCUUCACCUCUGCCAUGUACACCUGAGAAAUCUGUCACUCCAGCAUCUCCGUUUGGAACUGGAAAUGUGUCUAAGGUGAACAUUGAAGAAGUGACACCGACCCAGACUAGAAGUAAAGAGAACGUGACUAAUACAGAGAAAGAAAUCCAGAAUAAGGCUUUUAGAGCUGUACGGGAGACACCUGGGCAUAAAGGGAACUUUGGGACUAAGCCAAUGGAUUUACAGAGUGAGGAUCCUAAAGGGAUGAGCUUGAAGGCCUUGGAGAAAGUUGUUGGGGAUAAAAUUCCUAACUCUACUAAGAAGACAGAACCCAUUAUGAAGAAAAUUGGAACUUCUCAAGCUUCAGGAAGAUAUUUGUCGAAACCAGGAGUGGAGUUGGAAAGCUUCAAGAAACCCUCAUCUGAAAGUGGAAGUUCUCCUGAAGAUGACCAUCGGCAGACUUUUGUUCCUGAAGACAACCAUAAUCACAGACCUGCUACAGAAUCAAGAUUUGCAGAGAAAAGCUCUGCUGUUGGAUUUGAGAAACAUGCCCAGUCAAACUCUAAAUUUGAUGAAGAAUCAAAUACAUUAGAAAAAAUUGAUAUCCAACAGCAUUUACCUGAUUUGUUUGGUGAGAAGAAAGUCUCUGACAAUAGUGAGGGGCAGGCCGGCAGCUCUAGUGAUAGUGGCAGUGACAGUGAUAGUGAAAGUGACAGUAGUGACAGUGGCAGUGACAGUGGAAGCCACAGUAGAAGCAGAAGUAGAAGCCCAGUAGGAAGUGGAAGUGGGAGUAGUAGUGAUAGUGAAAGUGAUGCUUCAUCCAACAGCAAAGAGGGCUCUGAUGAGGAUGUGGAUAUUCUAAGUGAUGAUGACAAAGAGCCCCAACAUAAACUACAGGCCUCUGAACCAAAGUUCUCACUAUCACCAGAUCAAUGGCGGUCUGGGCAGAAUGGGACAGAUGAGAAGCAAGAUGGUGAUGGAUCUGAUCCAGUUGACGUUGAGGGUCUUGGAUCUGCUGCCCUUGACGUUGAAGGUCAUGAGUCUGAUGCUGUUGACAUUGAGAAAGAUUUGGCUGAUGACGAGAAGGAAGUUGAAUUGGCUGCAAAUGAUAGUUUUGUUCCCAGCAAAGAAGGCAACAAACCUGUGGAAGGAGAUAAAUUUAUUUUCUCUGAUCAUGAUGCCAUCCAAGAGCCCCAAACUUUCUUAGGAGCACUGUUUGAUGAUAAUGAAAAUAUGGUUAGGGACAGCUUCAGGCAUGAGCAAUCUGACAGUUCCGAGAGGUUAUCCAAAAGGGUUCCUGAUGUGAAGCACUCCGAUGAGAAAUCUGAAUGUGCUAAAAGAUUGAAAGUUGAAAGCUUGUCUCAAGCGUUCAUUUCUGAGGGUAGGGAUGCCUGGUUAUCUCAGAGUCCUCGCAAUAGAGAUGUUGAAGAAACCUACAGGGUCCCUGCCAUUCAAGGAAUUAAUAGAACAGAUAGGCAAGGAAAUGCCGAUUUUGCCCCACAAAAGGCUUAUAACCAGGCAUUUUCUGGAAAACCUAGUUCAGAUUUUCAGCAACCAGGACAAAGUUCUUCUGAUAAAAAUGCUCAGUCUAAGGCAUCUAGUUCUGAUACAACACGGAGAUCUAAACACUCUGGGAGCUCAGGACAAGGUCGUAAAUUAUCUGAAAAAGGUUCUUAUGUGCAUGAAGGUUUUCCCAUUCAAAGAGAAAAGUCUUCCAGGGACACUCAAAAUGAGGAUAAUUUUGUGAAGGAGAAAAAGGUGCCAAGAAAACCCAAGGAUGGUGGAGCUGGAGGCAGACACUCAGCUCCCUUUGAUUCUCAUUAUAGAAAACAUGGUGAAACAUUUGGGAAAUUCAAGGAUGCUACACAAGUUACAAACUCACACAUGGCGUCUUCACCAAUGGAUGGCAAUAGAGUUGAUAUGGAAAAAUUCCCAGCUGUCAGUGAAAGAACCCUCCAAAGAGAGCUUUCAGAAUUGGAGUCAGGAGAAUUUCGUGAGCCAUUGCUUGAUGAAGCACCAGUUAAAAAAAUUUUUGAAAGGAAGGGUUCUUUUAAACAGUCAGAGAACAAACCAAGCACUUCAAACAACCAUAUUUCAGAUUUAAGUAAGGUAAAACCUGUUGGAAGGGCAGCAUUGGACUCAGGAAAGCUUUCUCCACCCAGUCUAGGUACUGGGUUUAAGGAGACUCCUGAUCAUCAUACUGAAGAUUUAAUGAGAUCUCACCAUAAGAUUUUGCCGUCUCAUUCACGACAGCUUUCAAGUAUAGAUAACACUGAAGUUGGAUCACACCUUGGCAAGUUAGCGGAUGCAAAUAGCAGAUUAAGACAGAAUGAAGCUGGGGCAAAACCAGGAAAUAGUAUCGAAGGCUAUGGAGAAAGCCAUAAAAGAGCCCCCGCCAAUGGGCAGCAGCUGCAUGACUCUAAACGUGGGCAGGUUUCCCACAUGAAGAGGGAAAGCAAAACACAGACAUCUAAUAUGAAGGCUGACUUGGUAGAUGGACAGAAGGAUAUAAUUUUGACUGAGGUCAAUAAUAAUGCUCGAAAGAGGAGAGAAUCUUCUUCUGAGGAAGACAGCUCUUCUUAUUCUAAAUAUGAGAAGGAUGUGCCAGAGCUUAAGGGACCAAUUAAGGAUUUUCUUCAGUACGAAGAAUAUGUGCAGGAAUACCGUGAUAAGUAUGAUAGUUACUGCUCCUUGAACAAGAUCCUAGAGAAUUACAGGAAAGAUUUCCAAAAACUGGGAAAUGACCUUGAAUUUGCGAAAGGCAGGGAUAUGGACAGAUAUCAUAAGAUCUUGCUGCAGUUGAAGGAAUCUUAUCGUCAUUGUGGGGCGAGACACAAACAGUUGAAGAAGAUAUUCAUUGUGCUUCAUGAAGAACUAAAGAGCCUUAAGCAAAGGAUUAAGGAAUACGCUGUCUCAUACACAAAAGAUUGAACAUUUCUCAUAUUGCACCAAGACAUGAUCCCAUUUUUCCUAUGCAAGCCUAACCUGUGUACACCCCUGGCAAUUUAUAGAGGAGUAGCUUCUGGCGAAUUUCCAAUUGAUGAACAGAAGUUCUCAUGGUUGAGAAGAGUUUGCAGUAGUUGAUGUACAUUUUAUUUAAUUUUGUAUGAAUUUUAAUAUGAAUAUUGAUGUAAAGUUAUUAGGCUCAUUCUUAUAUUAAUUUGAACUUAUAUUUAUUAGAAA